GACGUAGGGCGCGAGCGUUGUCCGGAUUUAUUGGGCGUAAAGAGCUCGUAGGCGGUUUGUUGCGUCGGCUGUGAAAUCCCGAGGCUCAACCUCGGGUCUGCAGUCGAUACGAGCAAACUAGAGUGUUGCAGGGGAGACUGGAAUUCCUGGUGUAGCGGUGAAAUGCGUAGAUAUCGGGAGGAACACCUGAGGCGAAGGCGGGUUACUGGGCUGAUACUGACGCUGAUGCGCGAAAGCCAGGGGAGCAAACGGG
rnacentral:rRNA from 1 species